rnacentral:rRNA from 1 species
AGCGAACGCUGGCGGCAGGCCUAUCACAUGCAAGUCGAACGAAGUCUUCGGACUUAGUGGCGGACGGGUGAGUAACACGUGGGAACGUGCCUUUAGGUUCGGAAUAACUCAGGGAAACUUGUGAUAAUACCGACUGUGCCCUUCGGGGGAAAGAUUUAUCGCCGUUAGAGCGGCACGCGUCUGAUUAGCGAGUUGGUGGGGUAAAGGCUAACCAAGGCGAGGAUCAGUAGCUGGGCUGAGCGGAUGGUCAGCCACAUUGGGACUGAGACACGGCCCAGACUCCUACGGGAGGCAGCAGUGGGGAAUCUUGCGCAAUGGGCGAAAGCCUGACGCAGCCAUGGCGCUUGAAUGAUGAAGGUCUUAGGAUUGUAAAAUUCUUUCACCGGUGAAGAGAAUGACUGUAGCCGGAGAAGAAGCCCCGGCUAACUUCGUGCCAGCAGCCGCGGUAAGAC